AGCUUUGAGACUGCUGGAAACGGCAAGAAGGCGGAAGAGCGAUGUGCGGACCUCAGGAGAAGUCGGCGGAGGAGGUGACGUCAGCCGGGCAGGGCCUCUGCAGGUCUGCAAGCCACCGCAUCGGGAUUCUAUUUUAAGCUCUGGAGCGAAACACAAGUGACGCUGAACUGCAGAGUCUGGCACAGCCGGGUACCAUGUUGCCAAGGUUACAUCAGGAGGGCCACUGCUGCUGUGUUUGUGAUGGUGAAAUCACAACCCACCCAGGAGCCGUAUAGAAACGCUGCCUCGGACGCCCCCGGGGGAACAGUACGGAGCUGUUAACGGCAACGAGGAGAGUCCUGGCAGGGAGCACAUGCAAAUAACGUGUUGAUUCAAGGUGUGGACGGGUUUGCAGCUUCCACGAGCCUCAUGUUUCCACCCUGAUCCCGGACACCUGUCCCCGCCCCAGACAUGGGCCGCUGUGUGUCCUGCAGGUCCUCCCAGAGAUGGUUUACGUUCCUGCGUGCACGGAAACUGGUUUAUACAA